rnacentral:rRNA from 1 species
GACUGCGUACCUUUUGUAUAAUGGGUCAGCGACUUAUAUUUAGUAGCAAGGUUAAGUGAAUAACGGAGCCGUAGCGAAAGCGAGUGUUAACUGCGCGUUUAGUUGCUAGGUAUAGACCCGAAACCCGGUGAUCUAGCCAUGAGCAGGUUGAAGGUUGAGUAACAUCAACUGGAGGACCGAACCCACUAACGUUGAAAAGUUAGGGGAUGACUUGUGGCUGGGGGUGAAAGGCCAAUCAAACCGGGAGAUAGCUGGUUCUCCCCGAAAGCUAUUUAGGUAGCGCCUCGGACGAAUACCACAGGGGGUAGAGCACUGUUUCGGCUAGGGGGUCAUCCCGACUUACCAACCCGAUGCAAACUCCGAAUACCUGUGAGUACUAUCCGGGAGACACACGGUGGGUGCUAACGUCCAUCGUCAAGAGGGAAACAACCCAGACCGCCAGCUAAGGUCCCCAAAUUCCAGUUAAGUGGGAAACGAUGUGGGAAGGCUCAGACAGCUAGG